rnacentral:rRNA from 1 species
AGACAAACUCCGAAUGCCAAAUAAUUUAACUUGGGAGUCAGAAUGUGGGUGAUAAGGUCCAUAUUCGAAAGGGAAACAGCCCAGACCACCAGCUAAGGUCCCAAAAUAUAUGUUAAGUGGAAAAGGAUGUGGCGUUGCCCAGACAACUAGGAUGUUGGCUUAGAAGCAGCCAUCAUUUAAAGAGUGCGUAAUAGCUCACUAGUCGAGUGACACUGCGCCGAAAAUGUACCGGGGCUAAACAUAUUACCGAAGCUGUGGAUUGUCCUUUGGACAAUGGUAGGAGAGCGUUCUAAGGGCGUUGAAGCAUGAUCGCAAGGACAUGUGGAGCGCUUAGAAGUGAGAAUGCCGGUGUGAGUAGCGAAAGACGGGUGAGAAUCCCGUCCACCGAUUGACUAAGGUUUCCAGAGGAAGGCUCGUCCGCUCUGGGUUAGUCGGGUCCUAAGCUGAGGCCGACAGGCGUAGGCGAUGGAUAACAGGUUGAUAUUCCUGUACCACCAUUA